GACAGAGGUGGCUAGCGUUGUUCGGAUUUAUUGGGCGUAAAGCGCACGCAGGCGGUUUGGUAAGUCAGAGGUGAAAGCCCACGGCUUAACCGUGGCAUUGCCUUUGAUACUGCCUUUCUUGAGUAGAGUAGGGGGAAGCGGAAUUCCGAGUGUAGAGGUGAAAUUCGUAGAUAUUCGGAGGAACACCGGUGGCGAAGGCGGCUUCCUGGACUCUAACUGACGCUCAGGUGCGAAAGCGUGGGGAG
rnacentral:rRNA from 1 species